UCUCCGUUGGUGGACCAGCGGAGGGAUCAUUACUGAGUUUACAACUCCCAACCCAUGUGAACAUACCUUUUGUUGCUUCGGCGGGAUGCCCCCGGCGCCUAGUGUGCCCGGGAAUCAGGCCCCCGCCGGAGGACCCAAACUCUUGUUUUUCUAUAGAACUUCUGAGUGGAUUAUUUUAAUAAUUAAAACUUUCAACAACGGAUCUCUUGGUUCUGGCAUCGAUGAAGAAUGCAGC
rnacentral:misc_RNA from 1 species